rnacentral:lncRNA from 1 species
CUACAAGUCAAAAGUGGUGUUCAUAAUAUGUAGAGCUAAGUAACAAAAAAUCACGCUCAAUGACAACUCCUAUUCACCGCACUCAGCAUUACUUUAAGAGCCCUGAAAAAAGAUAAAUUAGAAAGAUGGAGCCACUGAUUAUGGAUCAGCUCAUGGUCGUUGAGAGAAAGUAGUAUUUCAUUUAAACAAAAACGAAUGUAGCAAUAUCAUUAUCAUGUUACACAAGGAAUCAUUUGCCACAUGUGAGAUUGUGAGGAAACUAGUUUUUUCAUCAUCGCUUGUUUAAAUCUUUUAAUAGGUUAAAUAUUAGGACUUUGGUUUCAAUGAGAUAAAUCAUGACAGAAUAUGUCCCUCACGACAUAGAUCCCUAGAUUCAAUGAAAGGAAGAAAAUUAACAAAUAUGAAUAAGGAAUUUAACUCUCACGACAACGUGCAUGGAGAAAAGUCCCUUGAUUUAAAGUAAGACAACUAACAAAUAUGACUAAUUAGGAGUUCACCUCUCACGACAAUAUCCACGGAAUAAAGUCCCAUAUAAAUAAUGUAGAUGGUGAGAGUUAUCAUUAAAGGAGUGUAAUAGAUAGAAAAUGUCUCUCACGAUAGGGAUCCCUUGAUUCAAAGGAGAACAACUACGAAC